CCUACGGGAGACAGCAGUGGGGAAUUUUGGACAAUGGGCGCAAGCCUGAUCCAGCUAUUCCGCGUGUGGGAUGACGGCCUUCGGGUUGUAAACCACUUUUGUAGAGAACGAAAAGUCUGUUGAUAGUACCGAUAGAUGAAGACGGUACCUCUUGAAUAAGCCUCGGUCAACUACGUGCCAGCAGCCGCGGUAAUACGUAGGUGGCAAGCGUCGUCCGGUUUUGCUGGGUGUAAAGGGCGUGUAGCCGGGCUGACAAGUCAGAAGUGAAAUCCCGUGGCUCAACCACGGAACUGCAUUUGAAACUGGCGGUCUUGAGUAUCGGAGAGGCAGGCGGAAUUCCUAGUGUAGCGGUGAAAUGCGUAGAUAUUAGGAGGAACACCAGUGGCGAAGGCAGCCUGCUGGACGACAACUGACGGUGAGGCGCGAAAGCGUGGGGAGCAAACAGGAUUAGAUACCCUAGUAGUC
rnacentral:rRNA from 1 species